UAGAAUAGUUUGGAUUAUGAAGUAUGUUUUAAAUUUGUAAGUUUUUAUUUUCUUGUCUUUUUUUUUUAAUUCCACAUUAUUGAAUGAACGCAUUUUACCAUUCCAGCAACUUAAAAUCCGUUCACAUUUCGUUUUCCCAUUGAAUUAUUGAUGAGUGUGAUGAACAGAAAACAAAGUGUCAUGCUCAUUAAGGUUUUCAUAUUUUUCUUAUUAGACUCACAAUUACAUACACUAGUAGAGACAGGUAUGGUGAAUGAAUUGCUAACAUUUUGAAUGCCAUCAUUACAAACUAGUUAGUAUCAAAUUAUAGUCGGUAUCAUCCGAGGCUGCACAUAACAAUGUAGCGAUAAAAAGUAAUUUGAAAUUUUAGCACAUACAGGAAUCAGGGAUGAGUGGCAAUUUAGUAAUAAUCGUGAAUAUUCCGAUGUACCAGUGCAAGCUAAGUUAUUGUUCGCUAAGCUUGUUUUGGAAGCGUUUAUAUGUAAGUAUGUCUGAUCUAUUUUAAACAAUUGCAUGGAUAAAGUCUCGGCCUUUUGUCUUGCAUAAAGUCAUAUUAAAUUGAAAUUGGCGGGAAACCAGAAUUAGGAUAGAAUAAGAUUAGUGUAGUAUAGAAUUAACAAGAAAGGUAUGCAUAAAGA